AAGACCUCGGAUUAGCUCUUUUCAAUCUCUCGCGCCUUUUAUUGAGCGAGAUAAAUUGGAGUUUCAUGGAUGCCAGCCCAUGUAAAAUCAAUUUUUAAAUUAUCACUAAUUGAAGGUCUAAAUGUGUCUUGAGAGUUUGAAACUACUGCCACGAAUUCAAAUUGUUAAAUUCAGUGUUCAAUGUAUUAAAUGUUACCAAGUUUGAAAUAUAAUAUAAAUAUAAUUUUUGUUUAAUUAUCACAUAGAUAGUUAAAAAUAAUGAGUUUAAUACCAUAUCUACGUCCUAUAUUAAUUAAUCAAAAUAAUGUUGCGAAAAGAUAUUUACAUGUCAGCAGAGUACUUCAUAAAGUACAAGCUGGACGUUAUAGACCAAAACCAAAGGUACUGCAACCAUUGACAUAUGAAAUGGCAUAUCCACCACAUGAAAUUGCUGCUAAAAAGUCAUGGAACUCAUGGAAUACAUCAAAUGUAAAGGAUGGAUACCAGCCCAUGUAAAAUUAAUUUUUAAAUUAUCACUAAUUAUCGUUGCAAAAGUCAUUUCAUCAUUGUGGAAGAAGAUAUAACAUGGAGUAGGAAUUUUUAAUUUAAAAUUGUAAAACCAGUUUUCCUUGGAAAAGACUUAUAGAAGAAAACUUGAUUUUUAUUUAAAUGGAAACCAGCUAUCAAUAGAAUUCAAAAAAGUUUCUCAAGAAAUGAAAUUAUUCAAAGAUAUUAAUUUUUAAUUGAUCCAUUGUGAAUGAUUCAAUUUUUAUUUGGCUGUCAGUAAACGUUAUCGAUGACGGAGAUCUAAUUUUUUGAAACUUACCAAUAAUCGUUAUCGAUGGUCCGAAUUUUAUUUUGGUUACCGAUAAUCAUUAUCAAUAGCGAAAAACCUUUUGGUUACGUUCGACUACCAUAAGUUUUAUAAUUAGUAUCUUUUUACUUUGUCAAUGAGUAAUGUUAAUAACAACUGACGAUAAUCGAAAGUAACCAGGAAAAUUUAUUGUCGUCGAUAAUGGUUAUCAGUAACGAAAACAAAAUUCUCCUCAUUGAUAACGAUUAAUGGUAACGAAAAAAAGUACCUGUCGUUCAUAUUCGUCACUAGUAAACAAAAUUAAAUUUCCCUUAUCGAUAAUGAUUAUUCGUAAACAAAAAAAAAUUCUCAUUAUCGACAAUGACUACCGAUAAUCAAAAAAAUUUGGAUCUUUUGCAGUAGUUAUCCGUAAUCAAGAUUUCUUAGUUAAAAGUAUUAACUUUUAUGUCGUGACGUCUAAAAUAUAUCUUAUAAUAAUUUACUCUGUUUAGUAAGAUAAAUACAGAAAAGAAGCUACAGUUCGAAAUCAUAGUUCACAUAAAUAAAACAUUAGACUUGGAAAAAGCUAAUUUCUUCGGACAAAGAAAAAUUCAUAAAUUCAAUUUUCGACGGUACAGAUGAGCUGGUCGAAAUGGCUGUAACAAAAAUGGAAAUGACUAGAGCAACGAUUAUAUAUACGGAAACAACAAUAAUUCCAAUAAAAGCCUCAUUGUGUCGUUAUAAACGUGGGAAUGAUAAUGACGCAUAAUUGCUGUCUUCCAAAGAAUACGUUCGUGAGCGGCCCAUAAUGAUCAUGAUUGUCAGGGUCGUCACGAGAAGUGCAAGAAGUAAUUUGCACGGUCCUGCUGGCAUAGUCGUUAGUCGCAUUCCGCGUUGCUGCACGUACGGACUUAUCACGACCAACAGAUUUCAAAUAAUUCCACGUGUUUCGAGACCACAAUGCAAGACAGGAAAAAGAGUAGUCAGUGGUAUACUAGUGGCCUAUACUUGAAAUUUCAGGACUGGAUCGACCCAUGCUUUCUAAUUGCAUCAAAUGAAUUUUCGUUGAAACGACGCAGCAGAAAUUACAAAAUGGAAAACCACGUCAAAACGUUUUGUAUUGUCCUCGUGUUCAGAAUCCACUGCCGAAGCGGUUCCCCGUGCAGUAGCUGCACAGUGCAUUCAGCAGGUUUCGUGUUAUCGAGAACACAGUUUUUAAGGCGCAUGAAAUUUUAUUAUCAUUCAACGUACAUGCUUUUCCUAUACAUCCAAAUCUGGUAAGUAGAGGCCACAAAAUCAAAAAUGAAAAGGAUGUUGAUGAAGGUUGUUGACUGAUUCACCGAAUUUGUGUCCCCCGGCCAGACUAUAGUCGAUCAUCUGUAACUGGAUCAGACUGUAACUGGAUCACUUUACGCAGACGUACUUGAUCGUCUUUGGAAAGAAUUCGUAGGGUCAACCGGAACACGUACCAAUUACGAGAAUGGUUUCUCCUGCACGACAGUGCUUCAGUACACUAGUCGCUGAUUACCUUCGUUUCUAUCAUUCGUUUCUAUCAGCAACCUUUUGCUAGAAAAUCGGUUGCAGCGAUUCAUCUUUCACUCUUCCAUCUUCUACUGUCCGGGUUUGGCGCCUGCUGACUUGUUUCUGUUUCCUAAGCUGAAAGUGGCACUACGAGGAUAGCGUGUUUGGACGAUGUAGAAACGAUCCAGAAGAACGUGACGGUUCUUUUAAGUCCAAUUUCAAAAGAGGACUACGCACAGCGAAAGGAUGCACGUUGACUAAUAGAUAAUGAAAUUUCAUUUAUCUGAAAAACUGUGUUCUUAAUAACGUUGGUCCCGGAACUUCCUGAGCGAACUGUGUAUACGAGACACCCUGUAUAUUGCAGUGUAGAAAAGCUGAAGAAUAAUGGAACGUUUGUAACGAAACGUUCAAAAGGCUGUAAUUAAAUAAACAGAUCAAAGAAGAGAUAGACGAAGCUAGGGGAAGAGAAGAGAUUGACAGUACAAUCGGGUCAUUGGAUGUAAUAACAGCGGCCUAUUAUUAUAAUUGACCACAACAGUGGCGAUGGGAGCGAUGGUAAUAGUGACGGUAGUGACAGUGGUAUCAGCAGAAGAACGGUUGUUCGCGCUGUGUCUUUCUGGCACUGGGUUUCUCUAGCUCUUUCACAAUAUCGUGGCAACGCUUGCAAUAAAUCUGUGGUGUGGUGCGAUAUGGCAAUCGGCAGGCUGCGUGACAUUUCGAUGCUACGAAACUCACUGAUGCUGUGAUUCGAUGUUGAUCGACGGCCAAGGUAUUCGUCGUUGGAUUAGAUCACGUCAUCUGGUCACAAGGUAGCAUUUAUUAUCGUUGCAACGUGCUUUUGUUAAAACAAUUUUCUAUUUCGUACUAUACAGUGUUUAAUAAACUUUUAAUUCAAACCGAAAGGGAUCUGCAUUAUUAGAAUGGCCUAAUAUUUAAAGGAGCUACUAUCCGAAUAUUGAGUUAUCUAAACAGAACGUCUGUUAGUGACAAAUGCUGUUAGUAAUUUCCAUAUUUUUCUGUUUGAAAUACCAUUCUUACAUAUAAUAAUAGAGUGUCUUAGCUAAAUGUCUUAGCUUAUUUAUGGGUAUAUGAUAGUAUUUCCUUGUCAGGACAAAGUUUAGCUAUUUGAAGCUUUGUAAUGUGGCUUGUGUGUAAUACAGUUUUAUGGAAAUGAUUGCACUGAGAGGCAUCAUCGUGAUCCGCAUCAACACCUGUUUUGGUAUACGUAAACAAAGAUGUACUCAACAACACACUUGGUUAUUGAUUUUGGCAACUAAGUGAUUGAGGAUUUUGUCAUUAGAUGAUAACCCAAUGCCAAUCCAAUAGUUCCAGUACAUCUACAACAAAUCAUGAACUUACGUUCUACAAAGAUCUUCAAAAGUACUUCAUUAGAGGAAUAAUAGAGUGAUGGAACGAAGAAUAGAGAAAUUUAAGACUUAUCAAGCUACGCUAAGUCUGUAACAAUAUAAAUGAUGACAAUCUGGCUUUACUGUUGAAUGGAAAAGAUCAAGCAUAUUGAGCUUCAUCGAAGGUAUCCUAAUCUCCUACCUUAAUUAGAAUAUUAGAAGGGUACAACAUGACCUGACAAACUAUAAAACUAAAUAACAUGCUAUAAAAAGAAGACUCUGACAAAAAAGCUCCAGAUUUUCUGAAAGAUAUUGCUUUACAAUAAUUAUGUGUUCUGUCUCACUGAGCAUUCUCACCUGGUCAUUAAUAAUCUUAGGAGUUACACGUUGAUCUUAAACACACAAUAAAAAAAGAAAGAUGACGUAUAGUACUAGACAUGUGGCUGAUGCUUGUAUUCUAUUUAAUAUAAGUAGGAAAAGAAGAUGAUGAGCUGCUAACAGUAAACAGUGGAUGAAUAAUAUUGUACGUAUGUUUCUUAACUAACGUGCCAUGCUGUGUGAGCCACAGGUGGCUUACAUGUACUAUACUUUCUGUUUACACGGUUGAUGUUUGCAGAAUAAACAGAUAGCUUAUUAUUGUAAAAUAUUUCAAAUAUUUACAGAUAAUUAGCGAUUAAUUAUGUGUGCAAUUACGUAUUCGUAACUAUGAACAAUAGAAAUUCUAUGAACAAUAGAAAUUUCAUGUUUUAUAUUGUAUCAUACAGAAUGUCCACUUUAAACGCAUAUAUGGUAUCUAUUAUUUCAUUAUCUAUUGAAAUUGUUAUUGUUAUUUCAAUCAAUCAAUAUUGUUAUCAAUUGUUAUAUACAGAGAUAUCGAUACCAAUGUAUUUCUUUAAAUUAUUCUAUUAUCAUCAAUUUAUUAUACAUUUCACGAUGUAUUCAACGAUAUGUAUGGGAUGUGAAGAAUAUGAUCGAUGUACGAACAGCAAUUUCCGGUGUCUUUAUAAAUGUUUAUGCUAAGUUUUAAAUUGGAUAACACGGAGACGAUGGAUAAUGGGAUACAGACACACGUACCUUUGCCUAUUGUCACAGAGUAAAGUGAUUUAGCAAUGAAAAGGAAAGCAACAAACUAAUCUUGAGAGCAACUCGUCUGCGUGAAAUUACUAAAAAACUACUUACAAAUAUAAUCAUGGAAAACGUUGCAACUG